AAAUUGAAGAGUUUGAUCAUGGCUCAGAUUGAACGCUGGCGGCAGGCCUAACACAUGCAAGUCGAACGGUAACAGGAAUCAGCUUGCUGUUUCGCUGACGAGUGGCGGACGGGUGAGUAAUGUCUGGGAAACUGCCUGAUGGAGGGGGAUAACUACUGGA
rnacentral:rRNA from 1 species